UAGAUACUGAAAUGCCGCUCUCAGGUCUCCUCGGAGCCUUCUCUCCUCUAGUCUGACCAGCCCCAGCUCUCUCAGCCUGUCCUGGUAGGAGAGGUGUUCCAUCCCUUGGAUGAGUUUUGUGGCCCUCCUCUGGACAAAGUGGUGGUUUUGCAGACCAGCAGUUCCCAUACGCUUGGUAAGGUGGCUGAGUACCUGCAAAUGCCUCAGCAGUGGAGCCAAAAGCUGUCACGUGGUCUUCUGUUUUAACAUGCACAAAAGAACUAAUGUAAGGGAAAGCACUCACAAGUACCAGAACCACAGGAAAAGCUUCAGCCAGGAUUUGCACUUUUUAAAUCAAUAAAACAAACUCGCAGGAAGCUGAUCAGCUUUAAUUCUGGUCCUUCCAGCACUGGCCAGUUGAGUUUCCUUUAGCUUUACUUUCGAAGGAUGUGAGAUUUCCGCAUGCGUACAGCAUUAUGAGUGUGCAUGCCCAACAGUUCUCUCGGCUGAUGUAGCCACUGAACGUUUUAAUAAGUUCAUACAGCUUCCAGGAAGAGAGACUCACCAGCAAACAUUCUGAAGGGAACCUGAAAGGAAGAAAGGUUUUUGUCAGUAGGGUUGGGAGGGGGGUUGUCUUAAGAGCUUGCUUUUAAUGGCAAGUGUUAAAACUACAUUUUGGAGAUUCCGUGGGAAGAACAUAGGUUCCCCAAAUAACCACUUCAUAGUUAGCAAAUGCCUGUAGUGAGGUUUUUUUUCUGCAUAAGGAGUGGUUAAGACUAUUUUUUGUCCUGUAUUUCCUUAUUCUUUCUAAGCACAAGCCACAGAGCACAGCAGAGCGAUCGAGCCAAAGCAUUCAGAAGAUGCAACUUGAGCUUCCUUUUGUCCUCUCCCAAACCAGAAGUAUUAAAAGUUUAAAAUACUGAUGUUUCCGCUGUCUGGACAUUCUUCUUAUGAUCCUGGCAGUUUUUGAACCUUGGAGUUCUCAGAUUUUCCAAAGACUUCAUGCUUUAGUGAAACUGCUGGAAGGCUGUGGAAGCCACGAGUUUUCUACGGCGCUGGAAAAUCAUGCCAUCAGUCUCAAGCUGGACACUUACUAAUGUUUCUGAAUUCCAAUAUUAAUGUUUUUAUUAUGGCUGAAAUCAGGAAACAGAGCAAGAGUUAAACUUUGUUCUAUAACUGAUCAACAAAAUGCAACAAUAAAGCAUAUGCUAACUGACAGUGCUGUUGAUACCUCCCAGCUGAGAUGUGGGAAUUCAGCUUUGUUUGCUUUAUUUCUGUUGUGCUGUCUUCUCUCUACAGGUUUCAUAAGCGAUCUGCUCUCCAUAUCUGGACAAAAUUACUCUGGAAUUUAGUCAGUGUCCCAGAGAAUAGGCUAUAUGAAUAAAGACAGUCGGUAACUUCUCUGUGGGAAAUGGAAAAAAUCAUGUUGCAGUUUCUUUGAGAAGUCUAAUAACUUCAGAAAUUGUAGAUUCUGUGUUUGAAUGCCUGCCACCAGCUGGCCAAAUCAUGCUCUCCUGAAACCUUUGCUGAAAUUGGAGGCUUACGCUGUGUGGAAGGAUGGUGGUGGCUGUUUGGACCUGGUACUCAGUUAAAAAUAGCAUUUUGAAACCACAUACUGCACUAUGGGAUGGCUUAUCUAAGAACUAGUCUAGUGGGUUAGUACUAUGUCCAUCUUGUUUUGUUUUGUUUUGUUUUGUUUUAAAUCCUGACAACUACUAAAAGGCUGCAGAGGAAUUAAUUUUGGAGCUGAUGCCAUAAUCUGCAUUCCUUCUUGGCAAGAAGCCUGUUCUUGGUCUUCUAAAGAUUUGUUAAAGCUCUGAAGUGUAAAGCUUGGUAUCUUUUGAAUAAAAUGCUAAUUGCAUUUUCAAAUCUUUUAGGUACAUGAUGAAAGUAUCUGUUCCAGCUUUAUGUAUUUGUAGAUUCUUCUUUUCAGUGACUUGCUGUAGUGAGUUCCACUGACAAUGUGUGCUGACUUUUUUAUUUUAAUGGAAAAAAAAAAGUACACGUACCCUCUUUUUAUUGAUGGGUGUUCGUGCUUAGUGUUUCAGACUCAACGUUUCUGUGCAGGUAAUCUAGAUAUCUGUUAAGCUGUCCCAUUUACAGACAGUAAAGAGGGUCCUGGGUUCAUCUAGAUACCGUGGUGCACGGUGGGAAAAGCCUGAGUUUAACUGGCUUAACCUUAUGUUACAUAGACAACCUGGGAGAGCAGGACUUCGGUCAGUUUACAGACGUGGUUUAACUGUUUGUAUCUUCCCAUACCCUUGCCAAAGUAAGUUCUGGUAACAGCCAUCAGAUAUGUCUUUGAAUCAGAACACUGGCACUUCGUAUUGUCAGUGAGGAUUCUCAGUCUCUGCAUUAACAGCCCAGGUGCGUGGCUGAAAUGGCAGCUUCUCUUUACAAAUAAUUUGGCUUUAAGGCUAGUUGUUUCUCACUGAAAAAAAAAAACCACACCAAAAACAACAUACUAAUUGUUCUGGACUGUGCAGUGAAACGCAGCUUUCACCAAAGUGAUACUUCAAGAUGUUGAACUUCCUUAAGAAAUGUCUUUCACUUCUCCUGCACUGCAUGGCGAUGGGAUGUGUGACUUCUUGGGCACUUUGUUUUCUAGAACAGUCAAAAACACAAGGCAUGUUUUGAUUUCACUGGUUUCAUGCACUUAGUGAACUGCAUGGUAAACUUACUGCUGUGUAACCCAAAGAGGUGACCAUUUGCUACAAGUUAAUAAAGUUUAUGUUGUCUCCUG